ACUCCUACGGGAGGCAGCAGUGGGGAAUAUUGCACAAUGGGGGAAACCCUGAUGCAGCCAUGCCGCGUGUGUGAAGAAGGCCUUCGGGUUGUAAAGCACUUUCAGUAGGGAGGAAGGUAGUGUAGUUAACACCUGCACUAUUUGACGUUACCUACAGAAGAAGCACCGGCUAACUCCGUGCCAGCAGCCGCGGUAAUACGGAGGGUGCGAGCGUUAAUCGGAAUUACUGGGCGUAAAGCGCAUGCAGGCGGCCUGUUAAGUCAGAUGUGAAAGCCCGGGGCUUAACCUCGGAAUUGCAUUUGAAACUGGCAGGCUAGAGUCUUGUAGAGGGGUUAGAAUUUCAGGUGUAGCGGUGAAAUGCGUAGAGAUCUGAAGGAAUACCAGUGGCGAAGGCGGCCCCUGGACAAAGACUGACGCUCAGAUGCGAAAGCGUGGGAGCAAACAGGAUUAGAUACCCCUGGUAGACUGUACA
rnacentral:rRNA from 1 species